rnacentral:lncRNA from 1 species
GAGUAUGAAAUUUGAAAUUGAUUUGAGGAAGGAUGUUUGGAAAUUCUAAAAAUUUUCUAUGAGAAAGGAGACGAUUGAAAAUCUUUAUUUUGGGGAGAAUAAGUUUUUCAAUGUACCUUAACCGGAAUUCAUCUUGAAUUAAAUUCAUAUUAAUUAUCGGUUUUACUCCACCUUUUAUUAUUUUGACGAUAAUUGAUUAUAUGAUUUUUUAUUACAUAUAUUCAUCAAAAUUUUGAAAUCAAUUUUGAUCUCUUGGUGAUUAAUUCAUUUUGGUUGUGAGUGUUGAAUAUGAUUGAUGGAUAUUCGCUAAUAGACUAAAAUUUGUCAAAAUUAUUUUCGAUUGUGAGAUUGUCUAAUUUAGAGGGAGUUUGAAUUAUUAAAAAAAAAAAAGAAGGGAGAAACUCCUAUGUUAUAAAAGAUGUGGAAAGAGUUACAUCCAAAAGGAGUGUGAAAACUAUCACCACAUAUAGGAAAGAGCUACCACCCCGGUCGUCCGGCAAGUGUGUGAAGCUACCACAUGAAGAUUGAGUUGAAUAACCGAAAAGGUUGAAAAACUUUUGAAUAUUUUAGAACUUUCGGAAGUUAUAAGGUGUUAGUUUGAAAAAAAUGCUUCAAGAGCCACCCCCGGUAUUAUAUUAGUUGAAUCUCUAUCUUGAACGGAUUGCGACAAAUUGGUGUCAAUUUUGCCGAAUUUCUAAAAAUUAUUUUUCGUGAACCGUUACAUCUUGAUGAUUUUGAAACAUAAGGUCAAUUUUUAUUUCCAAAUUUUGAUGUUUCGAUAUAUUUUGAAAUCUUAUAAUAUUUUAUCUUCAUCAUAAUGAUUUUUGGAGUACAACUUUUAAUUUUUAUGAAAUUAAUUUGAUUUUGAGGGAUUUUUGAAAGAAAAUUUUUUUUUCAUAAUCUGGCAAAGUGUAUUGGUAGCCACAGUUUUAAAAUCAGUUACAGAUUUUCGAUCUGUCUCCAAACUUUAUCAAAACUUCUCCUUUCUCUUUCUUAAAAACCUGUUACAGGGCACAUUUUUUUCUCGUCGAUAAACUUGGAAAAUGAAAAAGAAAAUAAAAGGGUUAAUGGCUUCUGGAAGGAGCAGCAACAAUCCGAAGAGGCCACAGUUCUUCAAAGUGCUUCUUUCUGGUUUUUUCGAAA